rnacentral:rRNA from 1 species
AUUGGCCAGAGACCGAUAGCGCACAAGUAGAGUGAUCGAAAGAUGAAAAGCACUUUGGAAAGAGAGUCAAACAGUACGUGAAAUUGUUGAAAGGGAAGCGCUUGUAACCAGACUUGCCCGCGGGUGAUCAGCCGGUAUUCUUACCGGUGCACUCACCCGCGGUCAGGCCAGCAUCGGUUCGGGCGGCUGGAUAAAGUCCGCUGGAAUGUAGCUCCUCUCGGGGAGUGUUAUAGCCAGCGGUGCCAUGCAGCCCGCCCGGACCGAGGACCGCGCUUCGGCUAGGAUGCUGGCGUAAUGGUUGUAAGCGACCCGUCUUGAAACACGGACCAAGGAGUCUAACAUCUAUGCGAGUGUUUGGGUGUCAAACCCAUGCGCGUAAUGAAAGUGAACGGAGGUGGGAACCCUCAAGGGUGCACCAUCGACCGAUCCUGAUGUCUUCGGAUGGAUUUGAGUAAGAGCAUAGCUGUUGGGACCCGAAAGAUGGUGAACUAUGCCUGAAUAGGGUGAAGCCAGAGGAAACUCUGGUGGAGGCUCGCAGCGGUUCUGACGUGCAAAUCGAUCGUCAAAUUUGGGUAUAGGGGCGAAAGACUAAUCGAACCAUCUGCUACUAGAUGGCAUACGGGCCCUGUGCCCCAGUAGUCCCCGCAUGGUGGGGGCGACAUCGUCGGUCUCUUCGGGGACGCCUUUGGGCUACCCGCAGUGAGCCACGGGCUCAUUCACAGACUAAGUGGCGGUGGCCGUGGCUCGGAGCACGGUUAGGAUAUAG